AUUGAACGCUGGCGGCAGGCCUAACACAUGCAAGUCGAACGAGUGGCGGACGGGUGAGUAAUGUCUGGGAAACUGCCCGAUGGAGGGGGAUAACCACUGGAAACGGUAGCUAAUACCGCAUACCAUCGGAUGUGCCCAGCUGGGAUUAGCUAGUAGGUGGGGUAAAGGCUCACCUAGGCGACGAUCCCUAGCUGGUCUGAGAGGAGGACCGGCCACACGGGAACGGAGACACGGCCCAGACUCUUACGGGAGGCAGCAGUGGGGAAUAUGGCACAAUGGGCGCAAGCCUGAUGCAGCCAUGCCGCGUGUAUGAAGAAGGCCUUCGGGUUGUAAAGUACUUUCAGCGGGGAGGCGUUACCCGCAGAAGAAGCACCGGCUAACUCCGUGCCAGCAGCCGCGGUAAUAC
rnacentral:rRNA from 1 species